rnacentral:rRNA from 1 species
GCAACGAGCGCAACCCCUACCGUUUAGUUUGCUAACGACGUGAAGGCGAGCACUCUAGACGAACUGCCGUUGACAAAACGGAAGGAAGGUGGGGAGUGACGUCAAAUACAUCAUGCCCCUUAUGUUCUGGGCUACACACGUGCUACAAUGGCCGGUACAGACGGACGCAAAGCCGCGAGGCGGAGCAAAUCCGAAAAAGCCGGUCUCAGUUCGGAUUGCAGGCUGCAAUUCGCCUGCAUGAAGUCGGAAUCGCUAGUAAUCGCAGGUCAGCAUACUGCGGUGAAUACGUUCCCGGGCCUU